ensembl:lncRNA
ACCGGUGUCAUACCUCUGCACCAUCUCUCUGUCUCCUACACCCAGGAUGCUGUGGUCAGAGAGGUCGUAAAUUCCUGGAGGAGAAUAUCUCCUCAUGGCCAGAGUAUUUAGAGAAAGUGAGUUUUCAUAUAGAGAGAGAAGGAGGAUAUACACCCAAAAGGGUCACGUUGUGGCAAUACAGACAGGUGGUUAGUAAAGUAACCUGGAGUAAAGUGAGCCGGUACUCCAGAGGUGAAGAGAGGGCAGGGUGAAAGAAGAGGCCUAAAGGGCAGGAAGGAGCAGACUAGAAGAGGGUUGGUCAGUGUCCUCCUAGUCCUCACUGGCUCCGUGGUCAGUA